AAAUAAGUGUUAUCUUUCUCUAGGUUGUCAAUGUUCACCAGCAUUCUUGUUGUGGGGCUCACAUAUGUAGAUUAAUUUUUUAUCAAACCAGAGAUAGAUGCAAGGAUUCAUUUUAUAUGGUAAUACUAAUAUAGGAACUUAUAUUCUUCGCCAUUUAAUCCUUGAUCUUAUAACUCUAAUUUUGAAAGAUAUAAUAUAGUGGAAGAUGAUGCUUCCACUCAUAUCCACAGUGCAUAUAAUUAAGCCAUAGAUAGAUCGGGUAGCGUCAUAAGGUCGAC
rnacentral:lncRNA from 1 species